rnacentral:rRNA from 1 species
GACGAACGCUGGCGGCGUGCUUAACAUAUGCAAGUCGAACGGAAAGGCCCUGCUUUUGUGGGGUGCUCGAGUGGCGAACGGGUGAGUAACACGUGAGUAACCUGCCCUUGACUUUGGGAUAACUUCAGGAAACUGGGGCUAAUACCGGAUAGGAGCUCCUGCUGCAUGGUGGGGGUUGGAAAGUUUCGGCGGUUGGGGAUGGACUCGCGGCUUAUCAGCUUGUUGGUGGGGUAGUGGCUUACCAAGGCUUUGACGGGUAGCCGGCCUGAGAGGGUGACCGGCCACAUUGGGACUGAGAUACGGCCCAGACUCCUACGGGAGGCAGCAGUGGGGAAUAUUGCACAAUGGGCGGAAGCCUGAUGCAGCAACGCCGCGUGCGGGAUGACGGCCUUCGGGUUGUAAACCGCUAUCGCCUGUGACGAAGCGUGAGUGACGGUAAUGGGUAAAGAAGCACCGGCUAACUACGUG